rnacentral:tRNA from 1 species
GGGUAGGUGCCCGAGUGGUUAAAGGGGGCGGUCUGUAAAACCGUUGCGAAAGCUACGUUGGUUCAAAUCCAACUCUACCCA